CAGUCCCAGCUUGUUGGGCUACUUCAUGAGACACUGCAUGGAUGUGCCCGACACAGCAGUUACCAUCACUGACCACAGCAACUUGCUCUUCCCGGGCUAGAGCUUUUGCAUCCCUCUUUCCUGAAGAGGCCAGCUGAAGAUCGGAACUUAAGAGAAGUCAGAGGCUCCUGCUGAAAAAGGCCACCGUGUGGUGUGUGUUUGCUGGUGGGAGAUUAGGAGGAUGGUGCACAGAACCAUCAAUGAGGAAUCCACGGGGGAAGAUGGUGCAAGGUAGGAAGAGCUAGGCUUCCACGCUUGCCAAAAAUGACAUCCGCCGCUGCCAAAGGACAAGAGGAAGAUGGGGUUCCCUGCGAAAUCCCUUUCCUUUCCAAGAAGGCAAUAAAAUCCUGUAGUGGUUCAUUUUAACCAUCAGGAGCCUCUGCCACAUAAUGACAUCCAUGUCUGCAUAAGGAUAAGAUACGGUGGGUCCCAGGGAUUGAGGGGAUGGUGUUCAUUUCAAAAUCUUGCUUCUUCUUGUUCUGAUACCAUGUGUACAAUACAGAAAACCAAUCAUAGUGU
ensembl:lncRNA novel transcript